rnacentral:rRNA from 1 species
GGAUUAGAUACCCUGGUAGUCCACGCCGUAAACGAUGUGUGUUAGUUGUUGGGGUCUUAAGGCCUCAGUGACAAAGAGAAAUCAUUAAACACACCGCCUGGGGAGUACGGUCGCAAGAUUAAAACUCAAAGGAAUUGACGGGGACCCGCACAAGCGGUGGAGCAUGUUGUUUAAUUCGAAGCAACGCGAAGAACCUUACCACCCUUUGACAUCCCGGUUGGGAGGAGCAGAGAUGCACCUCUUCAGUUUGGCUGGACCGGUGACAGGUGCUGCAUGGCUGUCGUCAGCUCGUGCCG